CACCGCCCGUCACACCAUGGAAGCCAGCUGUACCGGAAGUCGGUGCGCCAACCCGCAAGGGAGGUAGCCGCCUAUGGUAUGACUGGUGACUGGGGUGAAGUCGUAAACAAGGUACC
rnacentral:rRNA from 1 species